UGGGGAAUAUUGCACAAUGGGGGAAACCCUGAUGCAGCGACGCCGCGUGAGUGAAGAAGUAUUUCGGUAUGUAAAGCUCUAUCAGCAAGGAAGAAAAUGACGGUACUUGACUAAGAAGCCCCGGCUAACUACGUGCCAGCAGCCGCGGUAAUACGUAGGGGGCAAGCGUUAUCCGGAUUUACUGGGUGUAAAGGGAGCGUAGACGGUUUGGCAAGUCAGAUGUGAAAGCCCAGGGCUCAACCCUGGGACUGCAUUUGAAACUGUUAAACUAGAGUGCAGGAGAGGUAAGUGGAAUUCCUAGUGUAGCGGUGAAAUGCGUAGAUAUUAGGAGGAACACCAGUGGCGAAGGCGACUUACUGGACUGUAACUGACGUUGAGGCUCGAAAGCGUGGGGAGCAAA
rnacentral:rRNA from 1 species